AACGAACGCUGGCGGCGUGGAUAAGACAUGCAAGUCGAACGGGAACUUCAGCUGUAGCAAUACAGUUGCAGUUUUAGUGGCGAACGGGUGCGUAACACGUGGGCAAUCUGCCGAGAAGUGGGGGAUAGCUCGCCGAAAGGCGAAUUAAUACCGCAUAUGAUCAGCUAAGACAUCUUAGCGACAUCAAAGCCGGGGCAACCUGGCGCUUUUUGAGGAGCCCGCGGCCUAUCAGCUAGUUGGUGAGGUAACGGCUCACCAAGGCUAUGACGGGUAGCUGGUCUGAGAGGACGACCAGUCACACUGGAACUGAGACACGGUCCAGACACCUACGGGUGGCAGCAGUCGAGAAUUUUUCUCAAUGGGGCAACCCUGAAGGAGCGACGCCGCGUGGAGGAUGAA
rnacentral:rRNA from 1 species